rnacentral:lncRNA from 1 species
CGCCUCGAGUAGCUGGGACCACAGAUACAAGGUCUCGCUGUUCUACCUAGGCUGUUCUAGAACUCCUAAUGUCAAGCUAUCCUCCUGCCUCGGCCUCCCAUGCUGUUGGGAUUACAGGUGAGAACCACCGUCCUUGGUCACAAAUUCCUUUAAAGAGCUGUGCAAUGGCUCUCACAGCCAUUGCAGUACACUGAACUCCAUAGAGACAGCACUGGGCAAGUGAGAACCAGACAGGCAUUGGGCGACUCUGCCUCACUGAGGAAAAAUAACUAAAAAUGGGCAAAGGAGAUCCUAAGAAGCUGAG